rnacentral:lncRNA from 1 species
UGGAGAGGGAGUGAGGAAGGCUGUGUUUCCAGUAAGGGAUGAGAAAUAAGAGCAGUAAUGAGUAAUUUUUUCCCUGGCUGAAUACAAAUGUGCAACCUGAGGAUGAGAAGACACUGGAGCACAAGGGUCACAUGUACAGUGAGUUGUAAUAAAGAGACCCCACUGCAAAGACAAGCAGGAAAUGCCACAAGGAAGAAAUGUAGAAAGGACUAAAAAAAGCCAAGGAUUGUUUGGAUUUGGAGAAAGACUUCUUGCCUGAGCAUUGUCCCUACUUUGAGCAGAGUGCUGACAAAAUUGUCCUGUCUGCUUGUUUAAUCAAUUUCAGCUUUUCAUCUGGUCAUAUAAUCGAGACAUCUCCAGUUCAGAGCUGGAAACUGGACAGGACAUUAAAAAUGAAGUCUUGUCAAGAGCAAAGCCAGAAGCACAUCUUGAUUGAUGCUGCCAGAGUAUGUCAAGGGAACAGAUGAAAACCUUGUGGAUAAAGAGAAACCCACCAGGACUGAAAGGCCACAUAAUUGAUGUUAGGAUUAAAACCCUCACCGGGAUUCAGGGGUGAGUACAUUUAGCCUGAGGUGUAAAGGUGUAAAGGUCUGGGUUGCUUCUGCCAU